AUGGGCAGACUCACAUUCUCAUUCCUGCUGCUGCUGCCUGUCCCUGCAUAUGUCCUAUCUCAGGUUACUCUGAAAGAGUCUGGCCCUGGGAUAUUGCAGCCAUCACAGACUCUCAGCCUGGCCUGUACUUUCUCUGGGAUUUCACUGAGUACUUCUGGUAUGGGUUUGAGCUGGCUUCGUAAGCCCUCAGGGAAGGCUUUAGAGUGGCUGGCAAGCAUUUGGAAUAAUGAUAACUACUACAACCCAUCUUUGAGGAGCCGACUCACAAUCUCCAAGGAGAUCUCCAACAACCAAGUAUUCCUUAAACUCACCAGUGUGGACACUGCAGAUUCUGCCACAUACUACUGUGCUUGGAGAGAUCACAGUGGUGCAACCGUGGCCUAG